GUGUGAUUGGCGCGCUUUCCCCUUGGUAGUAGGACGGUUUGGGUGUCUGUUGGGUUUGUUUUUGUUUGUUUGGGGUUUUUCUGGCUUCAGGGUUAAAAGGAAGGGAAAAGGCGUCGUUGGCAUCCCCAAGUUGUAAGUGGGUCAUGCAACACACUGCACCCAGAGCUUUCGGUGGUCUUAAAGCACAAGCCUUCUGCUCUGCGGCUAAAGUGUAAGCAGGGGCGCGAGCGCGAACAGCGUGUUGGUGACACCUCCCCGUCCCGAACUGCUUGUAGAACCAGAGCGUGAUAAAGAAGAUGUCAACUUAUGGCUACUUCUCCAGCCCCAUGCCUGCCCACCUGCCUACCAACCAGCUCACCUGCAGGCCUCCCCGCCUGCCUGCCUGCCUGCCUGCCUGCCUGCCUGCCUGCCUGCCUGCCUGCCGGAUGCCAAUACUCUUCACCAUGAAGGGCACUUAAGAAAUGGCUAACUCCCUCUGCUGAAAGCCACCGGUUCUGUGGUACCAUGGGAUAUGCCACCCCAGAUUUUUCAUUAAGAAUGAAGGACUUGGGCUGGUGAGAUGGCUCAGUGGGUAAGAGCACCCAACUGUUCUUCCAAAGGUCCAGAGUUCAAAUCCUAGCAACCACAUGGUGGCUCACAACCAUCCGUAACAAGAUCUGACUCCCUCUUCUGGAGGGUCUGAAGACAGCUACAGUGUAUUUACAUAUAAUAAUAAAUAAAUCUUUAAAAAAAAAAAAA